rnacentral:rRNA from 1 species
GACGUGAGGGCGCGAGCGUUUGUUCCGGAUUUAUUGGGCGUAAAGAGCUCGUAGGCGGCUGUUUGCGUCGACUGUGAAAACCUGCGGCUCAACCGUGUGGUCUGCAGUCGGAUACGGGCAGGCUGGAGUUCGGUGAGGGGAGACGUGGAAUUCCUGGAUGUAGCGGUGAAAUGCGCAGAUAUCAGGAGGAACACCGGUGGCGAAGGCGG